CCUACGGGAGGCAGCAGUGGGGAAUUUUGGACAAUGGACGCAAGUCUGAUCCAGCAAUGCCGCGUGCAGGACGAAGGCCUUCGGGUUGUAAACUGCUUUUGUACGGAACGAAACGGUCUUCUUUAAUACAGAGGGCUAAUGACGGUACCGUAAGAAUAAGCACCGGCUAACUACGUGCCAGCAGCCGCGGUAAUACGUAGGGUGCGAGCGCUAAUCGGAAUUACUGGGCGUAAAGCGUGCGCAGGCGGUUAUAUAAGUCAGAUGUGAAAUCCCCGGGCUCAACCUGGGACCUGCAUUUGAGACUGUAUAGCUAGAGUACGGUAGAGGGGGAUGGAAUUCCGCGUGUAGCAGUGAAAUGCGUAGAUAUGCGGAGGAACACCGAUGGCGAAGGCAAUCCCCUGGACCUGUACUGACGCUCAUGCACGAAAGCGUGGGGAGCAAACAGGAUUAGAUACCCUGGUAGUCCACGCCCUAAACGAUGUCAACUGGUUGUUGGGUCUUCACUGACUCAGUAACGAAGCUAACGCGUGAAGUUGACCGCCUGGGGAGUACGGCCGCAAGGUUGAAACUUAAAUGAAUUGACGG
rnacentral:rRNA from 1 species